UGUCUUGUUUCGGUUUAGUGUUUGGGUUCGUUAGAGGAAAAUUUUUAAAAAAAUUAUAAAGAAUAAGCAUUGCAUGUAAACUAAUGAAUUUAAUGAUUGUUCAAUUUCACAUUUUUAUGAGAAAUUAUCCUCCCCCUUUUUCUGCAGACUUUCACGCUUUCCUAUAUUUUUAGAACCCAUUUUUUUACUUUCAAAACAUGAUAUUUUGACAAAUUAAAGCGAUCUCCAUAGCUACAAUUAGUUACGUCACUUGAUUUCUGAAAAAAAGGUUCCGUAGAAUUAUUCUAUUUAUGAUAUAGGGUGGAAAAACUACUUAAUCUGUUUAAAAAAUAUGUGCUAAAUAAAAUUGGUAUGAAAUUGAGUAUGGGAGUUGAAAUAGAAAGCAGGCAGCAAUUCAAGGCAGCAAUUAGAAGGAAGAGAAAAGAAUUACUUGGUCAACUAUCCAGAAAAGUGCACUAUUGUCGCUUUUGUGAUUAUUCUUCUUUUAAAACUACUCACCUGAAAAAUCAUGAAGCUAUUCAUUUAGGAUAUAAGCCUUUUAAAUGUGAAAUGUGUUCAAAAUCUUUUGUGCAGAAAAUGCAGCUACAGCGUCAUUUGCUUACACAUUAUAAGUUAUCAUAAUUUUAACUUUAUAUUAUCAGUUAUACUUAUAUGUUCAAAUGUUUAUAAAGAUAAAUGAACUGCUAAAAAGUUAAUAUAAUUCUCUUGGCAUUAUCAAUAACCAUUUUCAAUUAUUUUGUUUGCUAAUUUUUGACAUUGUUCAGGAAGUAUAUUAUUCUUAUAUUUCUUUAGCAAAUAUCAGGUAAUUGAACUAUAAUUUUUAUAUAGACAAAUGUAAAUUUCACUAAAGAAAUCUUCUCUCACUCUUGAUUGUUACCAGAAAUAAGUUUUCAUUUUGAUAAUAUUAUAAGCUAAUCCAUAUCUGCUAUAUCAGUAGUAUAAUAUUCUAAUUGUGUUAUAUCAUUUAUAAUUGGUACAAAAUCUUGUUACAAAGAGAAAAUUUAAUCUUUGGUGGUUGCAUAAAUAAUUGUAUGUCUAUUCAGUCUAUAAAAUUAUUACAUUUAUAUUUUUUUUUAAAUAAUCUGGAGGUGAUAAGCACUAUGUAAAUAAAAGUAUUUACGACAUAAAACAACCUAUGGCAGCUGGGUACUAUGGAGAGUUUUUUAUUUCAUUCAUUUGACAUUUACUGAAAUAUUGAAAA